rnacentral:lncRNA from 1 species
AUUGGGACUUCUUAGAAAUCUCCUCUCCACUCGUCCUCAUAUAGAUAAAAUAAUGAGUACUCAUGGAAAGCAAAUUAUGCAAGCCGUCACUCUUAUUCUAGAAGGGGAACAUAACAUUGAGGUCAAAGAGCAGACACUGUGCAUCUUAGCCAACAUAGCGGAUGGGACAACAGCAAAAGAUCUUAUUAUGACCAAUGAUGAUAUCCUACAGAAAAUCAAGUAUUACAUGGGAGCCCAAACUGGACAUCUCCUUAAAAGUGUUGGCAGUUAGAAGAAGAAAGAAUCACUAGCCAUAGAAUUCUACUGGAGGAAGCCACAUCCAUUUCUUUGUCUCUGCUUAGUUGAAAUAUAGUCCUACAUGAGAAGAUAAGUCUGUCUUAGCCUUGAAAAAACCAUUGAGCAUAUUUUGCCAUUGAUACUCUCUCAGAUGUGCAUAAAUUAUUUGAACAUACUAGAAAUUUUUUUUAUUGACCAAUAGGACAAUCAUCUAUAAAGUUUAUUUUAUUAUUGAGUCCUUUUUCAUUCAGGCGAAAACACCCUAUCCAAAGCAACCAGAAAUGGUUGUACUUUCAGUACAUAAAGCAAAAUAAAUAAGAAUUGUAUUUAGAAGAA